rnacentral:lncRNA from 1 species
AUUUAAAAAAAUAAUAAAGAUAAUCUUAGAAAAGCAAAUUCUUGGGCUCCACCCUAGGAGUCAGAAAUUUAGUAGGGCACCCAGAAAUAAGUUUUAAUAAUCCUUCCAGGUAACUUGAUUCACACUGAAGUUUGAGAAUCACUGCUCUAUGCAAAUAGUCGCCUUUUUCUCAGGUUAGAAUCACCUGGAGAGCUGAUAAAAAUUCUCACGUCCAGGCUGCACCUAGAUCAAUUAAGCGGAAUCUCUUAAGGGUGGAAACAGGGCAGCAAUAAAACAGUUCAUCAGGUGAUUCCACUGUGCAGUGUCAGGAAAAAAAAAGCUAUGGCAUUUAAACCUAGACUCUUUAAAUUAUUACAUCCAGGCAUUGCUCCAGCCCAAAAUAAGAAUCUCACUCAGGCCUUUUUGGAGCCCAGCCCUCCAUUAGCUUAUGCCUCAAGUAUAGAUAUGAAAUAAGAAGUGGAGCAUUCUUUGGCUGUUGAUUUGUUAGGGACUGACCAACUUUCAGCAAAAUGUAUUAGCAUGUUAGUGUGUGGAUGUAUUGGAACUGAAUCAUAGAACAUUGGAACUAAAAGAUUCUAGAAUGAAUCUGUCUUAAAGAUGAGAAAAUCAGGGCUCAGAGGUAAACUAACAAUCCAGAUUAGAGAGUCUUGCAGAAGUGCCCUUUCUGUCUUAAAUGUCUUGAAUGUAUCCACUAUAUGAACAUAGGUAAAACUAUCCUUUUUAUCUCGCUUCCCUCUUCUUUCUUUGGGCCUUGAAUAAAGGUCAGAGAACUGAUUGACAGCUGAAGGGUAUUAUUGCAAGCAUCAUGCCUGAUUGGGAGAUUGCACAGAAUAAUCUGAGAAAGAUCUGCCCUCUUAAAAAAGCACAAGAUCAGCUUCUACCAGUUAGAAGACAAAUGUUCCCUGUUCAUCCAACUGGUCAACUCCUGAAAUUGGAUUUGUUAUCUGAGUGCUGAAGAAUUGAUGCUUUUGAACUGUGGUUUUGGAGAAGACUCUUGAGAGUCCCUUGGACUGCAAGGAGAUCCAACCAGUCCAUCCUAAAGGAAAUCAGUCCUGAAUAUUCAUUGGAAGGACUGAUGCUGAAAUUCCAAUACUUUGGCCACCUGAUGCGAAGAACUGACUCAUUGGAAAAUACCCUGAUGCUGGGAAAGAUUGAAGGUGGGAGGAGAAGGGGACGAUAGAGGAUGAGAUGGUUGGAUGGCAUCAUCGACUCAAUGGACAUGAGUUUGAGUAAGCUCUGGGAGUUGGUGAUGGACAGGGAAACCUGGCACGCUGUAGUCCGUGGGGUUGCAAAGAGUUGGACACGACUGAGUGACUAAACUGAACUGAACUGAGUUUGUAGUUACUACAACAUUGAGGGUACCCUUCAGAAAAGCUUAACCUCUCACUCUUUGACCAUUCUUUGCACCAAUUAGGAUAGGUUCACCUGCAAGAAAAGUGCUUUAAGCCAUUGGAAAUUUUCUUGUUUCUUAAGGAAAAUUCCCAAAGUGGGCAGUUCCAGAGUUGACUGGCAACUCAAACAUGUCAUCAGGGACCCAGAGACUUUUCAUCCUUGAGUUUCAGCAUGGGAAGCAUGUUGCCUUGCAUCCUCACAUUUGUCACAAGGUCUCAAGGUGACUACGGAAACUCCAGGCCUUAGGUCUUCACACGACAUUCAAAGAUGAGAAAAGGGGGCAAAGGAAAAACACCUUUCCUGUUCAUCAAGAAGGAAAUAUCUUCCAGACUUUCUUCUAUGCCCAAGAUGGGAACUGGAUCAAAGAACCAUCUCUGACUGCAAUGCAGGCUGAAAGGUGAAUGUCUGGCAAAGAGAUUUAAAGUUCUGAUUGACUUAGACCGGUCACAAUUUCAUGCAUAUUCAGCCUUUCUAUUCUACCUCUUUAGCGCAUUUUUUGAUCUUUCAUUCUUACUGUGGCCAAGGCUGAAGAAAGGGGGGAUGAGCUAACAGUGGCUGCUGUCGUGUGGUGUAGCGUGUCAUAGGAUCCUCUGUGCUCUGAUAUGAAGAAAGGAUAAUAAAGGUACCUAUCUGUUAUGAUUAGGACUGGUC